rnacentral:rRNA from 1 species
CCUACGGGGGGCUGCAGUGGGGAAUAUUGCGCAAUGGGGGAAACCCUGACGCAGCAACGCCGCGUGAGUGAGGAAGGACUUCGGUCUGUAAAGCUCUGUUAAUGUGGAAAAAUGGUAGUUGGUCUAAUAGGCCGAUUAUUUGAUGGUACACAUAGAGGAAGCACCGGCUAACUUCGUGCCAGCAGCCGCGGUAAUACGAAGGGUGCAAGCGUUGUUCGGAUUUAUUGGGCGUAAAGCGCGCGUAGGCGGACCUGCAAGUCAGAUGGGAAAUCUCGGGGCUCAACCCCGAAACUGCGUCUUAAACUACAGGUCUAGAAUCUUGGAGGGGGAAGGGGAAUAUCGCAUGUAGGGGUAAAAUCCGUAGAUAUGCGAUGGAACACCAGAGGCGAAGGCGCCUUCCUGGACAAGUAUUGACGCUGAGGCGCGAAAGCGUGGGGAUCAAACAGGAUUAGAUACCCGAGUAGUCGG